AUCUGUCCUGUAGCACAAUGGGUCAUUACGUGGGGCUGUUAACCAGAAGGUUGAUGGUUCAAGUCCACCCAGGGAUG